rnacentral:rRNA from 1 species
GACGAACGCUGGCGGCGUGCUUAACACAUGCAAGUCGAACGAAGUGGCGAACGGGUGAGUAACGCGUAAUCAACCUGCCCUUCAGAGGGGGACAACAGUUGGAAACGACUGCUAAUACCGCAUACUGAAGGAGGGGAUUGAGUCUGAUUAGCUAGUUGGAGGGGUAACGGCCCACCAAGGCGAUGACCCGUAGGCCGUCCGAGAGGAUGAACAGACACAUUGGGACUGAGUCCAGGCCCAGACUCCUACGGGGAGCAGCAGUGGGGAAACUUCCGGAAUGGACGAAAGGCCGGCGGAGCAACGCCGCGUGAGUGAUGGCGGCCUUCGGGUUGUAAAGCUCUGUUAAUCGGGACGCGGUACCUGAAUAGAAAGCCACGGCUAACUACGUGCCAGCAGCCGCGGUAAUUC